GAUCAGGUAGGAAUACCCGCUGAACUUAAGCAUAUC
rnacentral:rRNA from 1 species